AGAACUCUAGUCAAACAAUGUCUGGGACAAGAUCUUCCAUGGAAAGGCCUUGAAGCAACAUAAUAACCAGGCGUGCAAGAGCUAUAAGAGGUCGAUGUAGGACUUCAACGGCCCUGGAAGCCAUGGAUUCAGAUGGAUUUUAGGAAGAAAGUGGAAGGAGACGGCUAGGGCUUCUAAGAGAGACUGAGAAAGAGUUUGAGAGAAGGGGGAUUCAAAGACGGCUG
rnacentral:lncRNA from 1 species